rnacentral:rRNA from 1 species
UACGGAGGGUGCGAGCGUUGUCCGGAAUCACUGGGCGUAAAGGGCGCGUAGGCGGCCUGAUAAGUAGGGGGUGAAAUCCUGCGGCUUAACCGCAGGGCUGCCUUCUAAACUGUCAGGCUAGAGCACGGUAGAGGCAGAUGGAAUUCCCGGUGUAGCGGUGGAAUGCGCAGAUAUCAGGAGGAACACCGGUGGCGAAGGCGGAUCUCUGGGCCUUACCUGACGCUGAGGCGCGAAAGCUAGGGGAGCAAACAGG